UAUCGGGACUCUCUGCCAUGAAA
rnacentral:siRNA from 1 species